CCUUUGGAGUAUCAUACCAAAUGUGAGUAGUUUUAGAUAUUUAUUUAUUAUGAAAGCAGAUACAUUGAAAAAGGAA
rnacentral:sRNA from 1 species